rnacentral:sRNA from 1 species
GCACCCACAAGGCGCUGCGCAGUUUUGUUCAGCACCAGCCGUUCGAAGGUGAUCCAGGCUCUUUAAUUUCUCCAUUGAGCAUUGUGUGAGCUCCACUGAGCAUUGUAUGGAGGGUCAGCUGCCCUGGCUGGAGAUGGUUUUGAGGCUUGUUCCUUCGUGGAAACAUCUGGAUGCAGAAGUUAGGCUGGACAACUAUCCAGGGGAGCUUUAAGUGAGCCAAGUGGACCCUCAGCACCACCUCAGAGUGUUCCAAGCUACCGUCUGGUGUUUGGAACUCAGGGAAGUCCAUUUGGUAUGAUCAGACUAGCCCUUUAUGUGACUGUCCUUGUGUGUUACUCUCAUUAAAAUGUUGAUUUUUGCCAUGUAAGGAAGAUUGGAAUAGCACAGGCAGCCAAAUAAGGAUUUUAAUGAAACAUUGGAGAAUGGCUUCAA